GGGAUUAGAUACCCCACUAUAUAAAAUAAUAGAAUUAAUUUAUUAAUAAAUGUUAAAUCAUUAAAAUUAAAUUAUAUGGCGGCUUUUCAUUCUUAUUAGAGAAACUUGUAGUUUAAUUUGAUAGUCCACGAUAAGAUUUACUUAAGUUAAACUUAUAUAUUGUUGUAUAUUUUUAUAUAAAAUUAUUUUUUAUUAAUAUUUAAUAUAAAUAAUUAUUCAAAUCAAAAUGUAGUAUAUUUAAGAAUUUUAUGAGUUAUAAUAAAUUUUAUUUUUGGAUAAUUAAUUUUAAUAUUAAUUUGAAAGAGGAUUUAAAAGUAAAUUUAAUAAAUUAAUUAAAUUGAAAUUAGUUUUGAAAAGUGUACAAAUUGCCCGUCAAUUUCGUUAAAAUGGAAUAAGUCGUAACAUA
rnacentral:rRNA from 1 species